ACUCCCUCUAUUCUCCUCUCGACAUUUUUUUUUCUUCUUUCAGCUAGGGUUCUUCUUCCCGAGAUUUGAAGAGAAGAGUGACUGAAUUGAAGUUAGGGUUUGAAGGAAUCAAUCUGACAAGAGUAACUGAAAUUGAAGUUUGGGUUUGAAGCAAUCAAGCCGAACGAAACAUAGGUCAUUCAGAUUUUCAUAGCUUCCAUCUUGAAGCUAUUUUAUUAUUUUUGGAUUGCAAAAAAGGUAGAGAAGAAGAAAGAUUAACAUCUCAAGAGGCUCGAUUAACACUUGCUGAAGUUGUGCAAAAAAACGUAAUUGAAUUUGCCUAUUCCUUAUUAGAUUAACUAAUUUUUGUUUUCUCGUAUUAGGUUUCUGUUUGUAUUGAUAAUAUCUUACAACUCUCUACUUUUGUCUUUCUUAUGGGUCGCGUGGUUGAAAAUCGUUGUGCUGAAGACUUAAACAUCAAUCCUGCUUUGAAACCUGUAGUUCGCAAAACAAAAAAGAGUAGUGCUUUGAAACCUGUGGUUUAAAGAACAAAAAGGGAUGCAGGGUUCAGGGUUAAUAUUUUGAAUUUACCAUCAUCAAAGGAUGCAUAAUUUUGAACAAAAAGGGAUGCAUAAUUUUGAGUUCAGUAUUUCUGCUCAUCAAGGACCAUUUACAACAGUUCAGUAUUUCUGCUCAUCAAUUUUGGAACUAGCUAAGAAUGAAAAUUCUAUUAUGUAGGUACAACUUUUUGAGUUGGUAUGUACCUGUGUAGGAAUUGUUUCGGCGUUUUUCUAUAAUAUACCGUACAAUUGCCAUUUUGAACAUUACAAUUUAGUCUCUUUUUUCAUUUUUCUUUGCAACAUUGCGGCAUCUAUUUAGAAUUUAGUCUCUACAUGACUAAAUAUCAAAUACUAACUCAGGUGACAGUCUUUUCUUUAAAUUCUUUUUGCUUUAUUGUGUAACCUAAUAAUUUCAAUUUUCUUAUAUAUGUCUGUGCUAAUGUCAUUGCAAUGUUGUUGUUGUAGGUAAUUUCAAUGAUUAAUUCAAUGUAGCUUAUGCAGGUCAAUUCAAUGCCAUAUGGGUACACUACCUAGGGCACCUCCACCUUGGAGAUUGAUAUAUAAUAUCUGUAGGUACUCAGCACCAAAAAUGCUUUGCUCUGAAUCUUCUAGCUGCAAACCAGUGAUACAAUAACAGAUUCCAAAAAUUACAAGCAUUGGCAAGUAGUGAGAACUGUUUCAUCUGAAAAUUCCGACGACCUUCGUGCAAAAGGCAAAAGUACUUUGGAAGAGAACGCCAUAAGCCACAUGUGGAUUUUAUUUGGGGAUAAUUGACGUUUGGUACUCAAGUUUAGACCAACACUAGGCUUUGGUCUAACAUUCGUCCAACGUUAAGCUUUGGUACCUGGACCGGACGUUGACCUACAUUGACUAGGUUAAGUUCUAAAUUCUGUUUAGUAAUUAUUAGAAAAUUAAUAUAAAAUUUAAUUAUUAAAGAGAUUACUAUAAUACCCUUUAGUUUUCUUAAUAUUUACAAAAAAAACUCCACAUCAACCACCAGUUAAAUCUCCGGCCAGCCAAACCCAUCAAAAUCUUCGUUCUUGGUAGCAGCAGUAGAACCAUUCCUCACCUAAAUUGACCAAGCAGUAGAACCACCAGUUAAAUCUCCGGCCAGCCAAACCCAUCCUUCCAAACUGAUGACCGAAUAAUCUCCUCAAGAUCGAAAUCUAAGAAAACUCAUUUCAAUUCUUGCCCCAAUUCUUCUGUAUCUAAAUUUAAAUCUCUAAGUUCAACUUCUCAACUCCAUUACUGACUGUUGUAUCAUCUUCUUUUUCAAGUUCUUCACCAGAUUUCACCAUCAGACCUUUAAAUUUCAAAUUCUCUUUGAUUAGACAGCAGCAAUAACAAUCUCAGCCACUGUUAAUUCGUUCAAAUUCUCCUUCAUAAGAACAAUUGAUAAAGAACACAACACCAUCUUCUGCAAUUUCAGCUUCAAACCCUCAAUUUGUCACCAACUCAGUAGCAGCAAGCUCCAUUCAUCCCCUUCCUUUCUAUUUCUUCAAAUACCCUUCGGCAUCUCGACCUCCACCGCAACAAAUCUUCUCUCAAUCUCUGUAAAAAUCCGCAGCCGUAUUUCCCCACUCAUCUCCGUCAAACCCUAUCCAAAACCAGUCACGGAUUCAGCUGUUUCUUUUCUUCUUCCUUGAUUCGAAUUUAGUAAUCAUAUUGAAAUCUCAAUUGAAACCAUAUUAAGACUCAAUUGAACCCAUAUUAAAUAAUCGAUUCCGUUAUGAAUCUCAACUAAAAUCCCUAUUGAAUAUAACUGAAACCCCUACUAAAUCGAUUAUGUAUGAGCUCAAAUUGAAACCCAAAAAAGAAUCAAAACCCUAAAUUCAUUUUUUAAUUUGAAACCCAAUUCUUCAAAACAUCAAAACCCUAACCGAACCUUAAUGACUUCUUUAAAAACUGAACCCUAAUCAUUUCUGCAACAACAAUAGUAAACCACAUAACCUCUGUUUGCCUUAUUCUUUCAUCAAAUCAAACCCUAGGUUCUAAAUCUCUGAAACAGUUUUUUCUUCAUCAUUCGCAUCCAAGUAAACUAAAUCCUCAUACAUUUACAUGAUGGGUUUCAACGAAGAAAAAAAGAAAAAAAAUUAUACAAUGGAGAUUAUAGAAGUGAUGGAUGUAGCAGACAAAGAAAAAGAGUGGAGAAAGAAUUUGUGGUGUGAAUAAACUACCGCCCACUGAUACAUAUGAAAAAGAGUAGGAUUAAUCAGGGCUAUACUUGUAAACCCAGAAUUUCACAAUAUUUUCAUUUUAGAAAAUUAAAUUAAGUUUGGUCAUAAACAGUCAACGGGGUCAACGUUUGGUCCAGAUAUCAAAGCCUAACGUUGGACAAAUGUUAGACCAAAGCCUAGUGUUGGUCUAAACCUGAGUACCAAACGCCAAUUAUCCCUUUUAUUUGUCUUAAAUGUCAUAUAUCGCACAAGCACGGGAAGGCGUACAAUUUGCAAUAUGACUUGCUAGAUCAACUCCUCAGCUUUGCGAUAUAUAGUGUUAACAUUAAAGAUGCUAUCAUUUCUUAAUUGUGUAUAUUGCUCAUGGAUGUUCAUAAAGGAUUUUUCCGUCAUCAUCUGUUGAGCUUAACAUCUAUCGUCAGCUUACUAUUUACGGUUGCUACAUAAAAGCUUAUACACGUUUACAGUUAAACAUAUUAAUUCAAUGCUUUCAUGUAUUA